rnacentral:lncRNA from 11 species
CGACCCUUCGAUGGCCGAUAAUUUAUAGGUUCGUUUCCCACCUGCGAAUUUUUACAAACAACGACGUGAAAUUUCACGUUCCUAGCUAGUUACGCCUAACCUAACAAGUUAACUUGAUGGGAACAUCCCUCAUAAAAAGCAAAGGAUAACGCCUAAGCGACAGCCCUGCACGGGUGUUUGCGAGACUUUAUGGAAUGGCGAGCGAAGAUAGUGAGUGUCACAGGUCAAGGCAAGCGUCAGAGGGCGUCAACCGCCUGAAACAAGCGCGAUUUUAUAUGCGCGGCAGUGGUAGAUAUAGGAAUCCUAGCUUGGAUCGAAUCUUCAAAUGGGUGGAGGACACUAUCUGGGCUGAGCGUGCACGCUCGGCUAUCGAUGACACUGAGCUUAAGGAGUGGCUUGCUUUUACGGAAAGUAUGUUGGAAGCCCUUGAGCGUGCUCGGUACUCACCCGAAUUCAUGGGGCUAAACGAUAGGGAUGAGAAAUCUCAGGUCGAGUUUCUAAAGAAAUGGAUAGUAAUGCAAGGCAAAUUGGCACAAAAGAUCUCCUCCAAAAGACUUGAAAUAUUGGCAAUGGAGAUGCAGGAUUACAUUUAUGAGCCUAUUGAGUUUCCACCCUGACGUGCCGAAACGAUCGUUCCUAUGCGCGCACUACAGAACAAAAUUGACCAUAAAAUCUCCGAUUUUUUGUAGAAGACGGAAUCCGCAAUAGUUUUCAGCUGGAACGUUUAGGCUUUAGAUUCUUGGCAAGUAGGAUAAAACUGUUUGAAGUAAAACGAGCAGUGAAAGCACAAUUCUAUCCCAAAAAGGUAUCCAUUCUUAAAUUUCGGAUAUUUAAUGUUCGUCUCGGUGUCAUGGAGAUACGGUCCUAAUAUUACGGACAGAAAAUGGAACUUCACGUUGGUCAAAGGAAACUGGUUAUUGCUCACCCCAUAACGACGCGUCGAGAAUGGAGCAUUAGAAAAUGUGAGAGGUUUAUUGUAAGGAUUGAAAACACUUGAUUCUGGCGUCACAUUCGGCCUACGCUUGCGUUUGCCUACCUUUAUUUUAAAAGGCAGCUGUCUCGCGAUUGCUUACGAAUGUUGUUGGCUCAAUCGCACGAUUCCCAGGAGCACCGUGGCGAGCGUCGUAUGAGAGAAUGAGCUGUCGCCGAAUAUGGGAGAGCACUUGCGUUUGACGCUACAGGUAUAUUUGGAUUUUCUGCGUCCAGGAUCGUGCUUUGUCGAUUCCUUGUAAUGGCGAAAAGAUAAAGCCACUAAUUUCUUCAAAUUCAUACUCUUUAGAAGCUGUACAUGGCGUCCACUCCUACACGAAACAGAAGGCAGAGUAAAAAAACUCGUUUGGUGUCUCUACGGUUUUCACACGAGUUUCAUCGCUCCGUCCUUGCCACUGCCAUUUUCUGCGGUAGUCAUCUUAGCAUGCUCUUACUGCUAUCGUCUUUUAGGAUUAAAGGCAAACUUGCACAGAGAACGGUGAGCGCCGCUGCGGCUAUCCUUCUGUAGACACGGACUAAGAGCAUAAUAUCACAGAAAAUGAACAUUGAUCCUCGAGAAUCACCGGCCAGUACUACAACGAAUCAUCAAAUCAACGUGAUUGUAUUACGUACGUGGUGGUAGAACGUGGGGCAAUAUGUAACGGUGAUAGAACCGGGCAGCUGAUCGCUGUCGUAGACGGUAAUGUGAAGGAAAUUAUCAACGUUCUUGCAUAACAUAAACUUCUCCAAUGCACGAAUAUUGAGGUUACGGCACAUUACGAAGCGUUUCUUCGACGCAAGUGAUCACCCUGUCCAACAAUGAUUAAAAUAUUAGUCGGAUUACAAAAAAAUCUAUGCUAAAACUACAAAAAAAAUACAAAAAUAAUAGGUGUUUUUCACAAGAUUAGAUUUUUGCCUACCUAAUCGAGUACGAGUAAUUUCCUCGUUGUAUAGCAGAAUGCAAACACCAUUUUUUCUCUAGUAUACUGAUCAAUCAUGCACAUGUCGUCGUAUCAGAAAUCGCUUCCGGUGUCGUACCCUUGAUUCAUCUUGCACGCGGCUUGACAAUAGCUCACUAUUUCAUACAUGUGAAGAUGAAGGAAAUAGUAAAGCACUGAUCGAUAAAGUGUCGAGUACGAUGAAAUUGACAAGGUAACAAACUGUAGCUAAAGCAUACCAUCCGUAUAAUAACAAUUUGAUGUACAUUUUUUGUUUUUGACCAUUGCAACGACGCAGAGAAAAUGAAUGCCUGUAAUGAUAUGUGUAUAAUGUCAACAAAUAUGAGAUGGCAACCCUGAUCAUUAUCUCGCAAAAUACCGUACGCAAGAAUCAAUAACCAACAACAGUGACCGUUUAAGCAUCAAGAACUCAAUUUUCUUCAUAGCUGAAAAAAUGAAUACAUUUCAAAAGAAGCCUUGAUUGAGAUAGAGUGGAAAUUAUUACGAUUCCUAUUAAAAAAUACACUGUGCUCUACUUGCUGUUUAAGCGUCAUCUCUUGCAAUAGUUACAUUUCCAUUUUGGUUCUGUUCUGGCAGCCUUCUAUUACACUCCGAAUACGUUCCCCAAUAAACAACACAUUUAUCAUUGACGCUAUACUGACUACGUCCAUAUUUCGCAUAGUUCUCAAGUUAGCUUAUUAUUCGCUAGGACACAAACUAUAGCUUUUAAGUUUACUAAAAAGUCUAUCUUUUAAAAACCAUGGACAUAAAAUACGAGUUCCCAGCCACAGAAAGUCUGACACAAAUGACCCAGACGGCCUUUUGUAGCGCUUACUGCAAUAGCUGACAUGCGUUAGUCUGGUGAAGACAAGCGACCGUGCCAAUUACGCAUAAACGCUUAAAAACACACUGCUAUGUACGCAACACGUUAGCGACGACAAUAGGAUCCAGCUUGCCACUCGUUCGAUCGAUCUUCUAUGUCUUGCGAGCAGUAACUAGCACGCGUGCAAUGUUUCGAGACAGUUGCUAUACUCGGCGCCUGAAUAUUCACCUAACUUCGACGGCGUCAGGUGAGCCGGUAGCCCCUAGGUUCUGGCCUAUAACCUUUGUCAAGGCUGCCCCAAAAUUGGCCAACGAGUAUUCGACAGUUUUCAUAUCGACAAUAUAAUACCAAGUUAUCGUUAUCCCAAGCUAUUAGAUCUACAUAGUGUCCGACGAAAGUUGGUCUUCUGUAAGCAAUUUCAUCUUCACACUGCGCGAAGCGAGGCUCACCCUUAGGAUAGUGAGCUCCUGGAACUGUUUAUA